rnacentral:rRNA from 1 species
AUUGAACGCUGGCGGCAGGCCUAACACAUGCAAGUCGGACGGUAGCACAGAGGAGCUUGCUCCUCGGGUGACGAGUGGCGGACGGGUGAGUAAUGUCUGGGGAUCUGCCCGAUAGAGGGGGAUAACCACUGGAAACGGUGGCUAAUACCGCAUAACGUCGCGAGACCAAAGAGGGGGACCUUCGGGCCUCUCACUAUCGGAUGAACCCAGAUGGGAUUAGCUAGUAGGCGGGGUAACGGCCCACCUAGGCGACGAUCCCUAGCUGGUCUGAGAGGAUGACCAGCCACACUGGAACUGAGACACGGUCCAGACUCCUACGGGAGGCAGCAGUGGGGAAUAUUGCACAAUGGGCGCAAGCCUGAUGCAGCCAUGCCGCGUGUAUGAAGAAGGCCUUCGGGUUGUAAAGUACUUUCAGCGGGGAGGAAGGCGAUGUGGUUAAUAACCGCAUCGAUUGACGUUACCCGCAGAAGAAGCACCGGCUAACUCCGUGCCAGCAGCCGCGGUAA